GACGAACGCUGGCGGCGUGCUUAACACAUGCAAGUCGAACGGCAAGGCCCUGCUUUUGUGGGGUGCUCGAGUGGCGAACGGGUGAGUAACACGUGAGUAACCUGCCCUUGCCUUUGGGAUAACUUCAGGAAACUGGGGCUAAUACCGGAUAUGAGCUCCUGCUGCAUGGUGGGGGUUGGAAAGUUUCGGCGGUUGGGGAUGGACUCGCGGCUUAUCAGCUUGUUGGUGGGGUAGUGGCUUACCAAGGCUUUGACGGGUAGCCGGCCUGAGAGGGUGACCGGCCACAUUGGGACUGAGAUACGGCCCAGACUCCUACGGGAGGCAGCAGUGGGGAAUAUUGCACAAUGGGCGGAAGCCUGAUGCAGCAACGCCGCGUGCGGGAUGACGGCCUUCGGGUUGUAAACCGCUUUCGCCUGUGACGAAGCGUGAGUGACGGUAAUGGGUAAAGAAGCACCGGCUAACUACGUG
rnacentral:rRNA from 1 species